rnacentral:rRNA from 1 species
UACGGGGGGAGCAAGCGUUGUCCGGAUUUACUGGGCGUAAAGAGCGUGUAGGCGGCCACGCAGGUCCGUUGUGAAAACUGGAGGCUCAACCUCCAGCUGUCGACGGAAACCGUGUGGCUAGAGUCCGGAAGAGGAGAGUGGAAUUCCUGGUGUAGCGGUGAAAUGCGCAGAUAUCAGGAAGAACACCAAUGGCGAAGGCAGCUCUCUGGGACGGUACUGACGCUGAGACGCGAAAGCGUGGGGAGCGAACAGG